CCCUUCGUGGUGAUUUAAACAGUAUGACUUGGUUCUCCUGAGUCUGAUGAAGCCAAACUUUCUGUUCUGAGAGGG